rnacentral:tRNA from 1 species
GUCUCUAUAGCUCAGUUGGUUCGAGCGCUGCACCGGAAUCGCAGGGCCGAAGGUUCGAUUCCUGCUAGGGACC